UAUGAACAGCAAACAGCGGCGGGAAAUGACUGCUUUGCCAAAAGGAGUGACUCCUUAUCAGACCAGAGUGCAGUUAUUUUAAGAAUUACUCCUCAAAUGUCUCUCUGGAGAAAGAUUUUCAACACUGAUGCACCGACCGUGUAAACUUCUCACCACCAACAUAUUUGCUUUGGUUUGUCAUUUUAUGAGUCAUAACAGGCUCAGCUACAGUUUCAGUGACACUCAUGACCCAUGAAUCCUGUUCCAGCUGAUGGUUUAGAUGAGUGAAGUAUCUGUCUUGAAGCCGACACGGCAGUACAGGUAGAAAACAAGGCUGUACUGUCCCCGUCAGAGCUGACAGGUGCACUGUGUACAUUGGACUGCGGCCUGAGAAGUGCUGCCAACUGCAACUAGGGCACACAUUUGGCAGGAAGACAGCAGGACUACAGCCACCCUCAGACCGGCAUGGAAAAAACAUAAUGAGCAUAAAUAAGCAGAGGAACGCUGCAUGUACGCAGACACACAGGACAAACAUGGCUCCGCUGUUAUUUCCUUACACAAGCAGACAAGUGGCUGCUUUCCGACAGCGUCCCUUUUCCUAAGUAAACAACACCAGGUCGGACACACCCUGCAGUAUAUUUACCGUCAGCAAUUAGGUGAGCCUAAAAAUGAAAGUUUCAAGCUGCACUCAGGACACAUUUCAUUAUAGAGGACACCGAUGUCCUUGGUGAUAUUUACGACAAUUUGGGUGAAUUAUAAAGAGUUUAUCUGGUACUGUUACACUCCUACUGCACACAUAAACACAUUCUGACUGGUUUUAGACAAACAAAUGUUGUAUUCUCCACCAGAGUUAUGAGACCAUAAUGUAGGAAGAUAACAUUUACAGAAAACAUGAUUGAAAAGUUGAAUGAAUAAGUUUGGUUGAUGGUUCUGUUGGAGGAUUUAUAAUCUCAGUGUCUUCUGUAUUUCUAAAAUGCUAGUUUGUAAUAACUUUGAAUUUGACUGAACCUCUUCUGUAUUCAAGAUUAAAACAUGUUUAUCAUU